UACGGGGGGGGCAAGCGUUGUUCGGAAUUACUGGGCGUAAAGGGCUCGUAGGCGGCCAACUAAGUCAGACGUGAAAUCCCUCGGCUUAACCGGGGAACUGCGUCUGAUACUGGAUGGCUUGAAUCCGGGAGAGGGAUGCGGAAUUCCAGGUGUAGCGGUGAAAUGCGUAGAUAUUUGGAGGAACACCGGUGGCGAAGGCGGCAUCCUGGACCGGUAUUGACGCUGAGGAGCGAAAGCCAGGGGAGCAAACGGG
rnacentral:rRNA from 1 species